rnacentral:lncRNA from 1 species
UAGAUAUUGAUAUGAAGGGAUAUUUUAACAGUACUAAUACUAAUACUACUACUGCUACUACUAAUAGUAACAAUAGUGGUGGUAGUAAUUUUUAUUCGUUAAUAGAUAAAAGUUUAGAAUUAAUGAAAGCAAGUGAUAAAGUAAAAGAAAUGUUAAAAACUCCUGCACGAUUACAAGUUACUCAGGAAGAAUUAAACAAAAUUGAUUAUAACGAAGAAGAUGAACAGUAUAAUAUGUGGUUUGGGAAAUACAUAAUUGACAAAUAUGAUAAAUGUCCUAAAACUAAUAGUACACCUCGUUUUGUAGCUAAAUAUAAAUGUAAUCCAUUGACGGAUUCAGGAUAUACAAAAGCUGAUAAAUCAUCAUAUACAACAAAACAAUUUUUUUGUAUUUAUUUUGCACGAGGAUGUUGUGCUUAUGGUCAUAACUGUCUAUAUAGACAUCGAAUUCCUAACGAAAAUGAUGAAUUAGAAUUUGAAAUAUCUAUGGAUAUAUUUGGAAGAGAAAAAUUUAAUUCGUUUAAAGAAGACAUGACAAUAGUAGGUAAUUUGAAUAGUGACUGUAGAACAUUAUUUAUUGGGAGUAUAUAUAUGAAUAAUGCAAAGGAUGUUUCUAUUGUUGAAAAAUUGUUAUAUGAUGAAUUUAUAAAUUUUGGUAACAUUGACUAUGUUAGAUUUAUACCAAAUAAAAGUAUAGCAUUUAUUCAAUAUACUAAUAGAGUUAAUGCAGAAUUUGCUAAAGUUGCUAUGUCAGACCAACCAAUAGAAAAUCAUUCAACAGCAUUAGCUAUUAAAUGGGCUUUCGAAUUAAAAAAUCCACCACACCAUCCAAUGCAAUAUUAUAAUAAUACUUUUAUGUAUAAUCAAAAUCAUCAUACUACUACUACUACUACUAAUAAUAAUAUUAAUAAUAACAAUCACCUUUUUAAUCAUAAUAAUGCUAAUAACACACAACAUACAUGGGAACAAUAUAUGAUGAUGACACAACAAUAUGGACUAAACCCAUUUUUUCCUAAUUAUAAUAAUAUGAUUACUGACGAUGGUAUGGAAACUGCUUUGGGGACUCCUGUCGGUGGUAUAGGUUUUCCUAAUGCUGUUAAUAAUAUUGCCUAUGGUAACAUGAACACAUUUAACAAUCCUAAUAACAUAAAUGGUGCAGCUAACUUUGCUUUCCCUUCGCAUUAUAACAAAGUGAAUGAUAGAUAUAACAACAUAAAUAAUAAUAUAAAUAAAACGUAUCAAAAGUUUGACAUACAAAACUGAUAUAUAUAUAUAUAUAUAUAUAUAUAUAUAUAUACACAUUUGUAGGGAUAUAUUGAGAUUUGAACUUACAAGAAAAAAGUAAUAAACUAAAAUGAAAAAGGGGUUAUGCGUAUGUG